rnacentral:rRNA from 1 species
ACCAGACUCCUACGGGAGGCAGCAGUGGGGGAUAUUGCACAAUGGGGGGAACCCUGAUGCAGCGACGCCGCGUGGGUGAAGAAGCGCCUCGGCGCGUAAAGCCCUGUCAGCAGGGAAGAAAAUGACGGUACCUGAAGAAGAAGCCCCGGCUAACUACGUGCCAGCAGCCGCGGUAAUACGUAGGGGGCAAGCGUUAUCCGGAUUUACUGGGUGUAAAGGGGGCGCAGACGGCGAUGCAAGCCAGGAGUGAAAGCCCGGGGCCCAACCCCGGGACUGCUCUUGGAACUGCGUGGCUGGAGUGCAGGAGGGGCAGGCGGAAUUCCUGGUGUAGCGGUGAAAUGCGUAGAUAUCAGGAGGAACACCGGUGGCGAAGGCGGCCUGCUGGACUGCAACUGACGUUGAGGCCCGAAAGCGUGGGGAGCAAACAGGAUUAGAUACCCUUGUAGCC